UCUGCUGAUAAUUGACAUAAGUAUGCCACUUGCUGCUAGAAAUUAAUUUCUAUAAUGAUCCUUUGGCCAAGGCUUCUGAUGGUAGAAAGGGUUCACCCUGGAUUCUUACUGUUGCCCUCUCCCAUAUAAACUCCAUGGUCAACGUUCUGUAGUUUGUAAGAACUGAUCCUAGAGUCUCCAACUAUUGCACUCCUAACACGACAUUUGCUCCUUCCAUGAGUAAUACAAAUAAGUCCGCUUUAAUUUGGGUUCCUUGGCAAAGAAUCUCAACUCCUCUACAAACUUCAUUGCAAAUAAGAAAUUCUCCGGAACCGAUGUAGACCCGAAAAUCUUGCAGUUUCUCCGUCUGGCAUCCCCAUUUCUCAAGUAGUGAUUUUUGUACGAAAUUAUGUGUGCUUCCGCUAUCCACCAAUAUUCCCACACUUUGGCCAUUAAUUUCACCUUGUACUCUCAAUGUUCUUGGAUUAAAUGUUCCG
rnacentral:lncRNA from 1 species